UGUAUACGAUCGAUCGCCUUUUAUGCCU
rnacentral:piRNA from 1 species